AAUACAUGCAAGUCGAACGCACUAGCAAUAGUGAGUGGCGAACGGGUGAGUAACACGUAGGUAACUUACCUCUAAGACGAGGAUAACGACUGGAAACGGUCGCUAAAACUGGAUAGGAUCUUUGGAGGCAUCUCUGGAGAUUUAAAGGGGCUGAAAGGCCACACUUAGAGAAAGGCCUGCGGCGCAUUAGCUAGUUGGUGGUGUAGAGGACUACCAAGGCGAUGAUGCGUAGCCGGACUGAGAGGUCGAACGGCCACAUUGGGACUGAGCCAGGAUCAAACUCU
rnacentral:rRNA from 1 species